rnacentral:rRNA from 1 species
GUAACGGCGAGUGAAGCGGCAACAGCUCAAAUUUGAAAUCUGGCCCUUGUGGUCCGAGUUGUAAUUUGUAGAGGAUGCUUUUGGUGAGGUGCCUUCCGAGUUCCCUGGAACGGGACGCCAUAGAGGGUGAGAGCCCCGUCUGGUUGGACACCGAGCCUCUGUAAAGCUCCUUCGACGAGUCGAGUAGUUUGGGAAUGCUGCUCUAAAUGGGAGGUAUAUGUCUUCUAAAGCUAAAUACCGGCCAGAGACCGAUAGCGCACAAGUAGAGUGAUCGAAAGAUGAAAAGCACUUUGAAAAGAGGGUUAAAUAGUACGUGAAAUUGUUGAAAGGGAAGCGCUUGUGACCAGACUUGAGCCCGGUUAAUCAUCCAGCCUUCUGGCUGGUGCACUUGGCCGGCUCAGGCCAGCAUCAGUUCGGCGCGGGGGAUAAAGGCUUCGGGAAUGUGGCUCCUCCGGGAGUGUUAUAGCCCGUUGUGUAAUACCCUGCGCUGGACUGAGGUUCGCGCAUCUGCAAGGA